CCCACGCCCCCCCACGUGCGUCUUCAGCCUGCUUUGAAAACCCCCUUUUUUUCUGCCAUUUGCUCACUUUCUCUCUGUCCUUCGCCGUAGCCGACGACCAGCGCCGACGUCGAACUGCCGUCACCCCCGUGAUUCUUUUCUGACCAUCCCUCGGUCUUCGACCAGUCCCCAUUUUUUUUUCCUUUUCUCGAUCUAUACUCUUCUCUCCCCGAUCUACCAAUCUGCCGGUGCCAGUAUUUUUUCAAGUCCUUUCUCACAGCCAAUGAUUUCCCCCUUAUCAAGUUUCCGGAUUACCAGACCCUCUCAAGAUGGGUUCCAUCUUUUAUGUUUCCUCACCGCGAUGGGGAGCGUAAUUUCAUUGAGAUGGGAAGCACCAGAGCCCUCAUCUGCGAUCCACACCCCAAGAAUACCGUCCCUUACUUCAAAUGCUUAAACACAAAAGGCCGAACAAGGACAAUCCAAACCAUUGAUCGAAGAAGAUCCAAGUUACUGGGCCUCUCAAAGGAAAUACAUUUCAAGAAAUUCAGCAGAACAGUUUGCUGAGCAGUUGAGGAUGUCGAAAUCAUUGGUGGCAGCUUAAAUGGAGCUGUCUCACCUGUUCGAGAUGGACUUGGCAUGUGAAGACAAAGCUUGUACAAUGGAUUCUGUGGGUCAAAUCCUGAGUCGACAAUAUAAAGAUGGAUGGUAUACUGAAUAGAAAAAGAAGGCAUAUGAAACAAUGAAACCAAAGAGAAUAUGAAAGGAGGAGAUACUUCGUCUUAUGGAUGAAAGGAAACAACUGAAAGAACAAGAGAAGCUGUUUACAGCUGCUUCUAAAGCCGAAGGUGCUGAGAUGAAAAAAUAUAAGACGGAGAUGCAGAAGUG